AUUGAACGCUGGCGGCAUGCCUUACACAUGCAAGUCGAACGGCAGCACGGGAGCAAUCCUGGUGGCGAGUGGCGAACGGGUGAGUAAUAUAUCGGAACGUACCUUUCAGUGGGGGAUAACGUAGCGAAAGUUACGCUAAUACCGCAUAUUCUGUGAGCAGGAAAGCAGGGGGAUCGCAAGACCUUGCGCUGAUUGAGCGGCCGAUAUCAGAUUAGCUAGUUGGUGAGGUAAAGGCUCACCAAGGCGACGAUCUGUAGCGGGUCUGAGAGGAUGAUCCGCCACACUGGAACUGAGACACGGUCCAGACUCCUACGGGAGGCAGCAGUGGGGAAUUUUGGACGAAUGGGCGCAAGCCUGAUCCAGCCAUGCCGCGUGAGUGAAGAA
rnacentral:rRNA from 1 species